CAUGGUUUAGUUUUCUGUUGUUGUAUCAUUUUUGGCUUUCUGGCCCUAUGGAAUUUAUAUCAUAGCUCAAUGGCCAGAUUCAACCCAUAAUGGCCUACUAUUAGAUGGAAGGAUUUUGAUGUAGGUUGGAGAUGUUCUACUGCAUAUGGUUGGACACAAAGAUCACUGUUCAUGGCAUUUCCUGCAAAUUUGGUUCAUGUUCAGGCCACUGCUCAAUCACACCCUUAUUACUACUCAGCUUAUAAAGCUCCCCACCAUGGAAUGAAGAAUCAGUUUUGAAUUUGUAGAAUUGGUCAGAAUGGAUCGGUAUACCGAUUAUUGGCUGAUUCUAUACCAGCGGCAUAUCUAGCCUUUUCCUUUUUAUUUUUUUUUAAUUAUUAUUAAUAAAAACAAAGAAUACAUCCCAUACAGAUUCUCUCCAACGUAUAUAAUCUUAAACAUACAUAUUUAUACUUCGUUAGUCCAUUUUGCUUGCAGAAAGAUACAUGGCUGAGGAGGAAGACAAUAUUUGAAGCCCAUACUAAAAUAGGUAACAGAUGGGCUGACAUUGCGAAGAGGCUUCCCCUUGGAAUGCAACUAAAAGAAGGCAAUAAUUCACCGGUAGAUGCUGAAGCUCAAAACAUAAAAAAUCAAAUUCUCUCCUCCAAACAUUGCAGACUAACAUGAAAAUUGUUAGUCCCAUGGUUUUGAGCGUUUGGCGUCAAGAUCGUCCAUACCCAAUGUGCUGCCACCCUCUUCUUCGGUGUCUCCAAAACCAUCCUCCGCCAAACACUCUAUUAAACCUGAUCGCAGAGCCUCCUCCCCCUGCACUGUAGUUUUCCCACCCAUCCUUUUGGAGGUUCAAGAGGACAGAGGGAGAACUAUUGGUAAGAGAAUGAGGUGGGAUUUGAGAGAUGCUUCGUUGAUGAAGAACUGGGGUCUGUGGUUGAAUAGGUUCAAUGUAAUAUGUAAGUACUUGAGACGAACGUGUAAUAAAACAAACGCAGCCUAAAGAUUGUUGAUGCAAUUUUGGUUUUUUGGCCUUAUAAUGGCUAUUUCCUCUUUGGAAAAUAGAGUCCUUUUGCAUUGUUGUAGUCCAUUAAUCAUUACAUGCGCUAUUUCUGAAUAUUAUACUUCAAAAAACUAAAGGUUUUCGAUC